GUAGGGUGCGAGCGUUGCCCGGAUUUAUUGGGCGUAAAGGGCGCGUAGGCGGCCACGCACGUCCGUUGUGAAAUCSCCCGGCUCAACUGGGCGGGGUCAGCGGAUACGGCGCGGCUGGAGCAAGCUAGGGGGCAAUGGAAUUCCCGGUGUAGUGGUGGAAUGCGUAGAUAUCGGGAGGAACACCAGUGGCGAAGGCGGUUGCCUGGAGCUUUGCUGACGCUGAGGCGCGAAAGCGUGGGGAGCGAUCCGGAUUAGAUACCCGGGUAGUCCACGCCGUAAACGAUGCGGACUAGGUGUCGGGGGUAUCGACCCCCUCGGCGCCGCAGCUAACGCAUUAAGUCCGCCGCCUGGGGACUACGGCCGCAAGGCUA
rnacentral:rRNA from 1 species